rnacentral:rRNA from 1 species
CCGAAGCUGCGGCAGCGAACGUAUCACCCAAGACAACUUUACGGAGUUGACGAUUGACGGAGCGAAGCGACGUCAAAGCGUUCAUUAAAGUCGAGUUGGCUUAGGGAUACGUUCGUUGGGUAGGGGAGCGUUCUGUAAGCCUGUGAAGGUGUGUCGUGAGGCAUGCUGGAGGUAUCAGAAGUGCGAAUGCUGACAUAAGUAACGAUAAAGCGGGUGAAAAGCCCGCUCGCCGGAAGACCAAGGGUUCCUGUCCAACGUUAAUCGGGGCAGGGUGAGUCGACCCCUAAGGCGAGGCCGAAAGGCGUAGUCGAUGGGAAACGGGUUAAUAUUCCCGUACUUGGUGUUACUGCGAAGGGGGGACGGAGAAGGCUAUGUUGGCCGGGCGACGGUUGUCCCGGUUUAAGCGUGUAGGUGUGUGUUCCAGGUAAAUCCGGUUCACUUUAACACUGAGGCGUGACGACGAGGCACUACGGUGCUGAAGCAACAAAUGCCCUGCUUCCAGGAAAAGCCUCUAAGCAUCAGGUAACAC